UGGGUGUGAUGAGGACUCUGAGCCUGACCAAUCUGCCAGUGGAGGCCAAAGCUGAUUUAAUGAGCCUGACCC